rnacentral:rRNA from 1 species
GAUGAACGCUGACAGAAUGCUUAACACAUGCAAGUCAACUUGAACUUCGGUUUGGGUGGCGGACGGGUGAGUAACGCGUAAAGAACUUGCCUCACAGAUAGGGACAACAUUUGGAAACGAAUGCUAAUACCUGAUAUUAUGAUUAUAUGGCAUCGUAUAAUUAUGAAAGCUAUAUGCGCUGUGAGAGAGCUUUGCGUCCCAUUAGCUAGUUGGAGAGGUAACGGCUCACCAAGGCGAUGAUGGGUAGCCGGCCUGAGAGGGUGAUCGGCCACAAGGGGACGGAGACACGGCCCUUACUCCUACGGGAGGCAGCAGUGGGGAAGAUUGGACAAUGGACCAAGAGUCUGAUCCAGCAAUUCUGUGUGCACGAUGAAGUUUUUCGGAAUGUAAAGUGCUUUCAGUUGGGAAGAAAAAAAUGACGGUACCAACAGAAGAAGUGACGGCUAAAUACGUG